rnacentral:rRNA from 1 species
ACGGCAGUACGCGGUAACUUGCACCUGGUGGCGAGUGGCGAACGGGUGAGUAAUACAUCGGAACAUGUCCUGUAGUGGGGGAUAGCCCGGCGAAAGCCGGAUUAAUACCGCAUACGAUCCACGGAUGAAAGCGGGGGACCUUCGGGCCUCGCGCUAUAGGGUUGGCCGAUGGCUGAUUAGCUAGUUGGUGGGGUAAAGGCCUACCAAGGCGACGAUCAGUAGCUGGUCUGAGAGGACGACCAGCCACACUGGGACUGAGACACGGCCCAGACUCCUACGGGAGGCAGCAGUGGGGAAUUUUGGACAAUGGGCGAAAGCCUGAUCCAGCAAUGCCGCGUGUGUGAAGAAGGCCUUCGGGUUGUAAAGCACUUUUGUCCGGAAAGAAAUCCUUGGCUCUACUACAGUCGGGGGAUGACGGUACCGGAAGAAUAAGCACCGGCUAACUACGUGCCAGCAGCCGCGGUAAUACGUAGGGUGCAAGCGUUUAAUCGGAAUUACUGGGCGUAAAGC